AUGGCACCUGCCACUGAAGUACAACAGUUUUUGCACAGAAACAAGGAAGUAUUUCAAGAACCUACUAGUCUGCCUCCACACAGAGUGUUGGACCACAAUAUCAACUUACUACCAAAUAUUGUGCCUGUAAAUUGCAGGCCCUACAGAUACUUUCCCUUACAGAAGGAUGAUAUUGAGAGACAAGUGAAAGAAAUGUUGGACAGUGGUAUGAUCACACCCAGUAUGAGCCCUUUUGCUGCUCUUGUGCUGUUAGUCAAAAAAAAGGACGUCACUUGGAGGUUUUGUGUGGACUACAGGAGACUGAAUGAUGUGACAGUAAAAAACAAGUUUCCUAUGCCGGUAAUUGGUGAAAUUCUGGAUGAGUUAGGAGGUGCUAAGUAGUUUUCUAAACUAGACCCGAGAGUUGGGUAUCAUCAAAUCAGGAUGAAAGAGGAGGAUGAAUUUAAAACUGCUUUUAAAACACACCAUGGGUAGUUCCAGUUUAGAGUUGUGCCAUUUGGUCUAGCUACAGCUCCUAGCACUUUUCAGUGUGUCAUGAAUUUCAUAUUUGCUGGGGAAAAUAGAAAAUUUGUCCUGGUAUUCUUGGAUGACAUUUUAGGGUUUAGUUUUACACUGGAAGAACGCUUAGAACAUCUUCAGCCAGUAUUUGAUAUACUCAAGGAACAAUAG
rnacentral:rRNA from 1 species